rnacentral:lncRNA from 1 species
GGGGCAGCAACCCAACAACAGGUUGUCUGAUUCAUCUGAAAAUUUCAGGGCAGAUAGAUCUUGACCUGAUAAACAAUAGUACUUAACGUCAGAUUUUCUCUAAAUGCUUUGGUUUUUGAGUUAUAAGCCAAAAACUGCAUUUGACCCCUAUGUUCCAUUUUUAGCAAUGGCGACCAUGUUUGUUGAUAGAUCAUAACUUCGGAUACAAUUUACAAACUAGAUACCCUAAGGAACAUUCAGUUAAAGUUUGGAAGUAUUUGGCCCAGUAGUUUCAGAGGAGAAGAUUUUUGUAAAAGAUUACUAAGAUUUACGAAAAAUGGUUAAAAAUUGACUAUAAAGGGCUAUAACUCCUAAAGGGGUCAACUGACCAUUUCCGUCAUGUUGACUUAUUUGUAAAUCUUACUUUGCUGAACAUUAUUGCUGUUUACAGUUUAUCUCUAUCUAUAAUAAUAUUCAAGAUAAUAACCAAAAACAGCAAAAUUUCUUUAAAAUUACCAAUUCAGGGGCAGUAACCCAACAACAGGUUGUCUGAUUCAUCUGAAAAUUUCAGGGCAGAUAGAUCUUGACCUGAUAAACAGUAUUAUCCCAUGUCAGAUUUGCUCUAAAUGCUUUGGUUUUUGAGUUAUAAGCCAAAAACUGCAUUUGACCCCUAUGUUCUAUUUUUAGCAAUGGCGACCAUGUUUGUUGAUAGAUCAUAACUUCGGAUACAAUUUACAAACUAGAUAACCUUAGG